rnacentral:rRNA from 1 species
UACGGAGGGUGCGAGCGUUGUCCGGAAUCCUUGGGCGUAAAGGGCGCGUAGGUGGCGGGACAAGCGUGCGGUGAAAGCCUGGGGCUCAACCCCGGGUCGGCCGUGCGAACUGUUUUGCUUGAGCACUGUAGAGGCAGGCGGAAUUCCGGGUGUAGCGGUGGAAUGCGUAGAGAUCCGGAAGAACACCGGUGGCGAAGGCGGCCUGCUGGGCAGUAGCUGACACUGAGGCGCGACAGCGUGGGGAGCAAACAGG